CCACAUGCAUCAGUAGUGGUGAUCAUCGAUCCACGAUCAGAUAAUGGGUUCUGAACUCAUCAGAUCAAACUAGCCGUUAGAUCUGAUUCAGGGCAUCGAUACGAUCGAUGCAAUCUUUUCUUUCUGAUCAGAUUUUUUUGUAUAAUAUUUUUAUGUCAUAGAUCUUUAGAUAGAUAGUUUAGAUCUAAUCUAAAGUAUGUGUAAAAGAUUAAAUAGUUUAAU
rnacentral:lncRNA from 1 species